UACGUAGGGCGCAAGCGUUGUCCGGAAUUAUUGGGCGUAAAGAGCGUGUAGGCGGCCAUGUAGGUCCGUUGUGAAAACUCGAGGCUCAACCUCGAGACGCCGAUGGAAACCAUGUGGCUAGAGUCCGGAAGAGGAGAGUGGAAUUCCUGGUGUAGCGGUGAAAUGCGCAGAUAUCAGGAAGAACACCCGUGGCUAAGGCGGCUCUCUAGUACGGUACUGACGCUGAGACGCGAAAGCGUGGGGAGCGAACAGG
rnacentral:rRNA from 1 species